GCUGGGUGUGGUGGUGCACACCUGUAAUCCCAGUGGCUUGGGAGGCUGAGGCAGGAGGAUUGUGAGUUUGAAGAUAGCCUCAGCAAUUUAGCGAUGCCUUAAGCAACUCAGUGAUACCCUGUCUCUA
rnacentral:sRNA from 1 species